rnacentral:rRNA from 1 species
GAUGAACGCUGGCGGCGUGCUUAAUACAUGCAAGUCGAGCGAACGGACGAGAAGCUUGCUUCUCUGAUGUUAGCGGCGGGCGGGUGAGUAACACGUGGAUAACCUACCUAUAAGACUGGGAUAACUUCGGGAAACCGGAGCUAAUACCGGAUAAUAUUUUGAACCGCAUGGUUCAAAAGUGAAAGACGGUCUUGCUGUCACUUAUAGAUGGAUCCGCGCUGCAUUAGCUAGUUGGUAAGGUAACGGCUUACCAAGGCAACGAUGCAUAGCCGACCUGAGAGGGUGAUCGGCCACACUGGAACUGAGACACGGUCCAGACUCCUACGGGAGGCAGCAGUAGGGAAUCUUCGGCAAUGGGCGAAAGCCUGACGGAGCCACGCCGCGUGAGUGAUGAAGGUCUUCGGGUCGUAAAACUCUGUUAUUCGGGAAGAACAUCUGUGUAAGUAACUGUGGACAUCUUGACGGUACCUGAUCAGAAAGCACCGGCUAACUACGUG